GACGUAGGGCGCGAGCGUUGUCCGGAUUUAUUGGGCGUAAAGAGCUCGUAGCGGUCUGUCGCGUCGGCUGUGAAAACCCGGAGCUCAACUCCGGGCCUGCAGUCGAUACGGGCAAACUGGGAGUGUUGCAGGGGAGACUGGAAUUCCUGGUGUAGCGGUGAAAUGCGCAGAUAUCAGGAGGAACACCGGUGGCGAAGGCGGGUCUCUGGGCAACAACUGACGCUGGAGGAGCGAAAGCGUGGGGAGCGAACAGG
rnacentral:rRNA from 1 species